rnacentral:lncRNA from 1 species
CUAGGAGCCUAUCACAACACUACAACAAAAAUGGACCAGCCAUGGUCCAAUCACAAUGAAGGCAAUAAUAAAGUGAAUAAUUCAAUAAGCAUAAAGUUUGCCUCUCCAGAAAGUGAAUAAUUCAACACCUUGUUCCAUGCACAAACAUGCUCAUAUAGUUUCAUCUGCACUAAUACAUGCUAAGUCUAAUAUUAAACAUAAAUCCAUUACAUCAAACAUGUUCUUAAUGGAAUAACAGUUAACUUCUACAAGGUAGUGGCAAAAUAGUCCUAUGGAACUGGCGACAUAAAACUCGCUUCAAUUGAAAUGUGGCCAAUAUGAUGCUCCAAAUGUUGUCAUUGAGGGAGCUGGCAGAACCUUGGGCGCACCAUCUUCGGAAAAUUUCUCUGUUUUAGGAGUAUUAAGAUAUAUACCCAUCCGUUUUAACCGAAAUUAACAAAACAAAAAUUCAAACUAGCAUCUUCAACCAAAAGAAUCAAAAGAAGACUUAAGUCAAUCACACCAUGUAUAAAUUUCUAGAUAUUGCCAGCUCAUUUCAAUGUUUGAAAAAAGUACAAAUAUAAUAACAAGAGCGAAGAUCACAGCAUCAAACAUUCAAACUCCUACUAUGCAAAUGAGAAUAGCUUUCCUAAACACAAAAAUUCAUAACAGCAAAAUGAAAAAAAAAAAAAAAAAAUGCCGGGGGAAAAAGAAAAUUCAAACCCAUGAUUGAUAAAUUCAAGAAAACGCCAUUUCAAUAUUGCUGUGCAUUUUUGGUACUUUUCGGACUAAGAAAUCUCCAAUAUAAAUAUCAACAUAAACCAAAAUCAUGCCUGAAGAAUAAACCAACUACGAAAAACCAAUCUUAACCUUCAAUGAACAUACUAAGAAAUCCCCAAGAAGCUAUUGAGAUCAAAUACAAAAUCAACAAGGAAGAUAAAGAAACUCAACAGAAAAAUAAUUAUUUAUGAACUAGCUGUGAAAUGUACAAAUUCGCUUUACAGUAUCUAGAAUUCACAAUAACAGAGACGAUACUAGCAUCAUUAUCUACUUACAUGCCCAGUAGCAAGUCAACAAUUUCGGCAAUAAAUGAGUUCACACUAAAAUCUUCCUUUUAGUGAAAACAAGAAAGGGAAAAACAACCUGCAGAAAAGGUUUCAAAAAUGGAUAUAAUUAUCGGUGAAAGAGCUGGUGACAGAGACAAGAGGGCACAGAGAGGGAGAGAGUUUGGUAUGUCGAUGCGUACAUGAAUGGUAUUUUCCGAUAAACAAUAGUGUGCAAAGAAAAAGAGUGACGGAUGAUUGAAGGCGGCGGGAUGGAGAUCGGACUUUACUGUCGGAUCUGCAAGGUUGCCGGAUUUGAACGGCUGCACCACUGCCGGAGAUGGAGGCCAGAUUUUAGGACGUGAUAUGCAAAGUCGGACAGAAGGUAGUGCAAGAUGGGAGAAAUGGUUUUGGCGCCCCCGAUUUUUUUCUUCAUUUCAUUACGCAGUAGAG